rnacentral:tRNA from 1 species
GGAGAGGUGACCGAGUGGUUGAAGGUGCACGACUGGAAAUCGUGUGUACCCCUAAUAAGGGUACCGGGGGUUCGAAUCCCCCCCUCUCCGCCA